UUUCUAUGAUGAUCUUAACCUUUACCAUCUUUCGACUGAAAAACCUUGAUGUUAACUUUUAAACUGAUUACAAUG